AGCAGUCGCCGCGGUAAAACGUAGGGUGCAAGCGUUAAUCGGAAUUACUGGGCGUAAAGCGUGCGCAGGCGGUUAUAUAAGACAGAUGUGAAAUCCCCGGGCUCAACCUGGGAACUGCAUUUGUGACUGUAUAGCUAGAGUACGGCAGAGGGGGAUGGAAUUCCGCGUGUAGCAGUGAAAUGCGUAGAUAUGCGGAGGAACACCGAUGGCGAAGGCAAUCCCCUGGGCCUGUACUGACGCUCAUGCACGAAAGCGUGGGGAGCAAACAGGAUUAGAUACCCCCGUAGUCCCUGUCUCUUAUAC
rnacentral:rRNA from 1 species